AGAAGAAGAAGAAGAAGAAGAAGAAGAAGAAGAAGAAGAAGAAGAAGGAGAAAAGAAGACUGGCAACAGAUGUUAGCUCAGGAGCCAAUCUUUAAAAAAGAAAAAGUGCUUGUGUCUAUUAGUAAACAUGCCUUGUGUUUUAUUAGUAUGAGGCAACAUGUUUCUAGAAAUUAUGAAAAGUGUUUAGAAUGCUGAUAUAAAAGAUAACUCAUAAUUGCUUACUUUUUAGUUUUUAUAGGUUCUGUAAGGGUUAAAAUUUUUAAUUAAUAUAUGUAAUUAAAGCUACUAAAAUUAAUAAGGAAAAUAUCUUUGUAUUCAAAGAAAGUAAGAAUAUAUGUUUUCAGUAAAGAAGGUACAUGGAAAGGAAAUAUUCUUGUUUGUUUUCUUAAAAAAAGAUAAAUUUGUUCUAAAGUACUAGGAAAGAAAAAGGAAAAAAACUCGGGACAAAUUCUGAAUGUAAAAGGUAAGUGAAAAGUUUGUGAAAGUAAAACCUUAAGGAGUUUUAUGCAUGGUCACGUUGGCUAAGAUUAAAUUAAAUCUAGUUAAGUAAAUGAGUUUUAAUGUCAAAAGUAAGCUGAUGCAAAAUUAGAAUUUGGUCUUCUUUCUCUUAAAGGGAUAAUUUUCUUGAACUUUUGGACUGCUCUUGAUAAACAGUCUAUAAAAGGUUUACCUUUUAUCUUCUACCUAAAAGACGGAAAAACCAUGUUUUGUUAAAAUAAUUUCCUAUGUUCAAAAAGAUCGAGGCCUCUCUAUUCAGUUUUUAAAACUAUUUGGCUUUCUCUGUUUGCCUUCAAGAUCUCUGGUUGUCACUAUGGUUCAAUGGAUAGGUGAGCAUUGUUUCAAGGGGACCUAUGUUAUUGUCUUGGUGAAUGUUAUUGAUAGAGGUGUUUCAAAAUUGUAUAACAUUACUAAAAUUCUGAUCUGUCCUGGUUAUCAGUCAUAAUCCUGCUUAUUAUUUUAAAGUGUUGUAUGUCACAAAAUUCCCAAAUUUCUUUGUCAGUUGCCAUUUUGAAGUCUUUUGUCAUUUACAGACAGUUAUCGUUUUACUCUGAUACUUUUGCAAAAUAUGUUUCAUCUUCAGAGAAAUUCAUGGAAAGGACUCUGACACUCUAGAAUACAGGUUUCUAAUAAACUUUCAGAUUUUAAAACUGAUCUGAGUAAGAGAUUAUAGAACUCUAAUGGAGAAACUGAUGACUUCAUGAAACUGUUAACAGAAAAUUAACAUCAAGAAGCAAUUACACAGGACUGAAUUAACUGAUGAGGAUGAUUAUAACUUUUAUGAUUUUUGUUUGAAGUAUUGCUGAUUUUUUUAAUGUUUUGCUUUUUUCAGAUUUAAGGAAAUCUUUUUCUCUUUUCUCUCAAGCUAAUUAUGACUUAUAAAAAUUUGGUAAAUUAUACCUUUGUAAGCAGAAUUGAAACAUUUAUUUUUUCUCCCUACCUGAUCCCUCCAGAAUUUGGAAACUCUUAGUGAGUAUUGUUAUUUUCAUGGCAAUAUAGUUAUUUGCAUAAGUUCAGUAAGAAUCUGUUCUCCUUAUAAUAGGACACAAUAAUUGGGAACAUUGGUUAUAAUACCGAGGUUUUGACUAGAAUGUUAUAUUUGAGAGAAACAUACAGACUCAGAUAUGACAAGACACCUUUUGAGGAAUAAAAGUUGACUUUCUGGAAUAAAGCCACUUGGAAAUAUUGGCCUGGUACCUUGCUUAUAGAGUUCCCAGCUACCUUACUGGGUGAGUAAAGAAAGCCACUCCUCUGGCAGGUGUAAGGAACCUCCAGGAUCUGUAGGUAUUGCAGAAGGAGUCUGACAAGUCCUUGGCUUGGCUUCUUUGGCCUCAAGAGGCCUUUAAAGUUCAAUCUGAGAUUCCUUAUAAAAGGUUCCAGAAAAGCAGAUUUAAAUGAGCCUAUAUGAUCAAUAGCUAUUCUUGCUGCAGUUAUGUAAAUAAUUGGAUCAAGUUUUAUUGAAACUAGACUUACUUUGCAAACCAAUUAGUCUUAAUUUGGCUAUCUUUUAUAAAAAAAUGAGGUUGAUUUUAGAGAGGAAAAUUGUGUUUCAGCAGAAGCUAUAGCACACAUUCAUGGAUAAGAGUCUAGUUCUGUUAACUGCCUUUGAAGUUUUUGCUAUAUCUGUUAACUUGACAGGAUCCUGAAUUCUUCUAGUCUCCUGAAAUAUCUGGCUACAAAUCUCCAAACUAACAUUUACAGUUUUUUCCAUGACUUUCCUUUGGAAUCACUGAGAACUGAACCUGCCCUUUUUCCUGAAGCCUUGCAAACUGAAGCUGGUGGACUUGAUACAAACCUAAGAGAGAUUCAUGUCUGGUGCUAUGUAAGUCACUCAGAAAGAUACUUGAAUACCUGAUGACAUCAUCAGAGACAUUUCAAACUGCAAAAGAUGCUUUGACUUUGACAGCUAGAAGUCUUUUUGACUGGCUGGCCCCUGGACUCAGAGAGUGGUUUAUAAUUUGCUCCCACCAUUAACCUUGUUUUUAUUUUUGUCUCUCCGGAAAUACUUCUUAUUAAAUACCUGGUUACUUGCUUACACUUGCCUAAGUUUGGGAGCCCACCUGCAUCACCAUCUUACUAAAAGACUGGCUUAAUGAGAUGGAACAACUUAUGCCCCUCAUCAACAGGAUAACCCUCAAGAUUUUGGGAUUAACAACAAAAGGGGGGACCUGAUAUUGGAUCAACACAAGGUUGACAUGAGGGAGGCCUUAUUGCAGAAAAGAAACCAUCUUACCACUUUGAAUAACCUCUGAUUAACUAACCCAACAAUGCUCUGUAGAUUUUAUGGCCCCUCCCACCUGCUAUAAGUCAAUAACUUUGUUCUUUUGAGUUUCUUAGGAAUGUGAUGACCCCCAGGCAGAGAGUCCAUGCUGGUAGCCAUCAUUGGUGACAACUGAAAGAUCAUGGGGACACUGCCACAGCAUGGCUUGAUAAGUGCUGCAUAGGCCCAAGCCCAGGAUCCAAACCCACAAAUCAUGGGCCACUGAAGCGGAGUGUGUGAACUUAACCACUGAGCCGGCCCAACAAAUAUAUUUUUUAAAUAGCUAAAAACUUGAGAUGAAUAUCAUCCACACACUAUAAAUCUUGGUUUGGAGGAAAGCUACUAUGGUUGUCUAUUUUUGAAAUAUCAGAGUUGGAG
ensembl:lncRNA